rnacentral:rRNA from 1 species
CAGCGCCACAAGUGGCAAUCGUUUUUAUUUGGCCUAAAGCGUCCGUAGCUGGUUAAGUAAAUCUCUUGUGAAAUUGUAUCGCUUCACGAAACAGCGUGCAGGAGAGACUGCUUGACUAGGGACCGGGAGGAGUCAGAGGUAUGCUGGGGGGAGCGGUAAAAUGCUAUAAUCCUCGGUAGACCACCUGUGGCGAAGGCGUCUGACUAGAACGGGUCCGACAGUGAGGGACGAAAGCCAGGGGAGCAAACCGGAUUAGAUACCCGAGUAGUCC